rnacentral:rRNA from 1 species
AGCGAACGCUGGCUGCAGGCCUAACACAUGCAAGUCGAACGAAGUGGCGGACGGGUGAGUAACACGUGGGAACGUGCCUUUAGGUUCGGAAUCCCUCAGGGCAACUUGUGCUAAUCCCGACUGCCUUUAGAGCGGCCCGCGUCUGCUUAGCUAUUUGGUGAGGUAAAGGCUCACCAAGGCGACGAUCAGUAGCUGGUCUGAGAGGAUAAGCAGCCACAUUGGGACUGAUACACGGCCCAAACUCCUACGAGAGGCAGCAGUGGGGAAUCUUGCGAAAUGGGAGAAAGCCUGAGGCAGCCAAGCGGCGUGAACGAUGAAGGUCUUAGGAGCGUAAAAUUCUUUCAGCGAGGACGCGGGACCCGGAGAAGAAGCCCCGGCUAACUUCGUGCCAGCAGCCGCGGUAAUAC